CCAGGUGACGUCGGAAUAAGGAGAUAUGGACGUUUUAAGGCAGAAAGGUCAGUGGGCUAGGCCCAAUCCGAACCCAACCGGGUUAGGCCCAUUACCCAUGUCCUUAUAAGUGCCAAUUUCGGCAUUCCUCCUCAUUUUAACACCAGGAACAUCCAGAAAAUUCUGGGGAGAGAGAGAAAAAGAGUUUUGGAGAAGAAAAAACCAAUUUUCAUCGAAAUCUGAGCCCCGAAUCCCGAAGCCCAUGAAGGGAAAAAUGUUGUACGCUGCGUUGUCUUCAAUUUGAGCUAAAAAUCAACCAAGGAGGAGAGUGAUAACGUGGUGGCUGAAUGCUUAAGAUUUUGGGCGAAACGGAAAUUGAAUUUGAGCGAGCGUAAGGCGCAGCUAAGGUACUCCCAGGUGAGUUGAAGACAGUAUAGAAGAUGUUCCACUGCAGAUGGCAAGCUCCAUUUGUUCCCGGAGUGCUGCCGAGUCAGAGUUUGUAUGUUAUGCUUUCGGGAUUACGUUAGAGACUUUGCAGACAGCGUCGUGGGUAUUGGUUGUCAAUUUGUAAGCGGCUCCGUCAGCCGAUGUGUCGGUUUGUGUUAUGUACUGAAUUUUGUAUGAUCAUAGAUUUGUUCGGCUUAGAAGCUACGAGAAAGAAUAUUUCAAAAAAUUUACUAUGUAUUUUACCUUGUUUGAUUUAAAAAGUUUGAUGUGAUUUUAUGUGCAGCAAGAG